rnacentral:snRNA from 14 species
GUGCUCCUUAUAGUGGCACAUAUACUAAAAUUGGAUGAUAUAGGUCCCUGCUUAAGGAGGACACACAAGUUUGUGAAGUGUGUCAAUCAUAU